GCCUCUCUUGCACAAUCUCUCAAAAGAUUCAUAUCCCUAUGGUUUGUCACAAUAAAAGCAUUGAGCAACCUCCCAAUGGCAUUUUCAACAGCAGGAGCCCAUGUAUCACCAUUGACCAGUGUCAGGUGGGCACCAAUUGGACCUAUAGGCGGCUUAUUGAACUUAUGGUGAAAUCUUUCAAUAAUAUGAAGAAGAUGAAUCACCUUAUCUCCCCCAAAGGCUGUAACCUUGUUAGUUUUGUGUUGCCGGAGCUGUUGAAUGGUUCCACGAAUCUCACGUUCCUCUUUUUCAUAAUUUUGAAUCUCUUCGCUUAUCUUUCUGAUUUCAU
rnacentral:misc_RNA from 1 species